UUAAACGUGUUUCCGAUCAAAGAUUGGCAGAAUUGAACACAAAAUUGGGGCUAUCUCAACUAAAAGGUCAAAUCGUAACCAUCCCAGUUGCUCACGGGAAAUUAGACCCCGCAAUAAUUGGCAGGAGACGUCGAUCGCAAUCGAAUCUGCUCGAGUUGCUAUUGAGUCCCCAGGAUGACAACUUACAAGAGGAAAUGACCCCAGAUUUGAUUACGUACGAAGAUAGCUUCAAACGAUAAACUUCAACGAACCGAAACCGUUAUCAAUUAAACCCUAAAUAAAUAAUCUUGUACUUAAACGGGAACUUCUCCAGUAUUAAGACUUAAUUAAUCUAAUAUCGUAGUAUUAUUUUUUAAUCGAUGUGAUUUGUGAUUCUAUUUUUUUGUUGUGAUACUUUAAUUAAUUAGGAAAGAUUAAUAGGAAAAAAGGAAAUGAAUCAAGGAAAUUAAAAUUGACUCACCUAAAAUAACCACCAUGUCAAGAUCUAAAAUAAAG